UAUUUAAUGAAUGCAAUAACAAAUUAUAUUUGACAACCGUGGCCAUUGGUCGAAAUUGUGGUUUUAAGUAAUUCUGGAAAACUGCUUGAUGUGUAGAAUGCAUUUUGUAGACGUAAAGGCCAGGAGUUGACAAAACUUGACCCAAAACGGAGAAAGUUCUUUAAAAUGUGAUUGAAGAUCAGACUCUAUCUUUGUGGAUGUGGCUCCUCUUUCAAUGGCAGGCAAGGAGCGUCGCCAAGCAGUAUUAAAUAUCAAAAUCAAAGAAAUCUAAAUUAAGAUGUACCCAACAACCUGUUAAAACUGCCAAUAAUCCGAAUUGUAAUACUCAGCAGCCAUCUGCGGAAAAUAUUUUGUUAAAAAACUGUCGAAUCAGGCAAGCAAAUAACAAUAUCGUUGCCAUGCUGACAUUGUUUAUAUGCAACAGCCAACUUAUUUUUCGGAAAAACUUUAAAAUGAUUAUUGCAUUAUUAGUGACGUUUUCCUUAAUAUGCUCAUCGCAAUCGAUAUUAUUGGAUGAACAAGUCGGCAGUGCUGUGAUCUCGAAUAACACGAGCUACCGAACAAGUGGAAAAUCAAUUUCAAGCAAUAAUACGGCUGGUAGAUCUUCAGUAGCCGUAAACGGCUAUCUCGAUAAAUUGGACAAUUUGGAGCGAAGUGUUGCCGCUGUGUUGAUUAAAGUAGCUUACGGAACAACAUCAACUACAAAACGAAGUAUUCCCGACAAUAGCUACAUUUUGGGCCUCACUACUGUAGCGACGCCACUUUUAACUACACUCAGGUAGGUAGAUAGUAGAAAUAUCUGUAUC